rnacentral:rRNA from 1 species
CCUACGGGAGGCAGCAGUGGGGGAUAUUGGACAAUGGGGGGAACCCUGAUCCAGCGACGCCGCGUGAGUGAAGAAGUAUUUCGGUAUGUAAAGCUCUGUCAGCAGGGAAGAAAGAAAUGACGGUACCUGACCAAGAAGCCCCGGCUAACUACGUGCCAGCAGCCGCGGUAAUACGUAGGGGGCAAGCGUUAUCCGGAAUUACUGGGUGUAAAGGGAGCGUAGACGGUUAAGUAAGUCUGAAGUGAAAGGCCGGGGCCCAACCCCGGGACUGCUCUGGAAACUAUUGAACUUGAGUGCAGGAGAGGGAAGCGGAAUUCCUAGUGUAGCGGUGAAAUGCGUAGAGAUUAGGAGGAACACCAGUGGCGAAGGCGGCUUACUGGACUGUGACUGACGUUGAGGCUCGAAAGCGUGGGGAGCAAACAGGAUUAGAUACCCGGGUAGUC